AAUUCCAAAUGAUUAUUUUUUGUUGUUGACGUUUCACAAAUUUGAGGAUUUUGUUCAGUCAAAUAGAAACUAAUGGAUAAAUUCUUAAAAGGUGCUGAAGAUAUGGCAAAUGCAUUGGGAACAUCUGGUAAAGGAGAGAUUGAUCGUGGUGAUGGAAAGAUUGUAAGCUGGUCAUUCAAAGGUCAGAUAAUUGGUAUUGAGUGGAAAUACAUAGGUAUUUGUGUGGAUAGAGCCACUGGUGAAACAACUACUGCUAUAACACAAAGCAAAGGAGGGGCCAUUGAGCAUUCCAUGAAAGACCUGUUCCAGAGGCUGGCAUCAAAGAAUGCGUUAUAGAAUUAUAUACUUAUUUUUGACUCGGCACUAACAUAUGUCUUCUAUGUAAAAUAGUACACAUCCGGCUAUUUUCAAUAUUGAUUUUAAUACACUUAAUAUAUCGUGCAUUAUAAUCUCAAUAUUUAUUAAGAUUUUUGAGUUAACUCAAGUUGUAUCGUUCAGUUUUAUUUUAUGUAUUACAAUUUGUUUUAUAUGUAUUCCCCUACUUCUUUUACAAUAUCUUAAAACGAUCCGAUGCUUUAUACACUUUUGCAUAACAAUAAAAUUUACAACAAAUUAAUAUGCAUGUUAUUUUCGUACAAAAAAACCUACUAAAAGUCAAUGUUAAAUGGAAUCAAACCAGCACACAUCACGCCUCAACUCUCAUCGGUAUUAAUAAUGUAUAUUUAAUGACAUCAACCCACCACACAUGACGUCUCAACUCCCAUCGGUAUCAAUAAUGUAUAUGUAAUGACAUCAACCCACCGCACAUCACGCUUUAACUCAUGUCGGGUGUGUUGUAUAUAUAAUGGCAUCAAACCGUCACACGUCUCGCCGAAUAUCCCAUCGGGUGUGUUGUAUAUGUAAAAGCAUCAAACCACCACACAGCACGCCUAAAUUCCAAUCUGGUAUGUUGUAUAUGUAAUGGCAUCAAACCACCCCACAUCAAGCCUUAACUCCUGUCGGGUGUAUGUAUAUGUAAUGGCAACCACCCACCACACAUCAAGCCUUAACUCAUGUCGGGUGUAUUGAAUAUGUAAUGGCACCAUCCCACCACACGUCACGCCUAAAAUCCAAUCUGCUAUAUUGUAUUUGUAAUGGCAUCAAAUCACCCCACAUCAAGCCUUAACUCCUGUCGGGUGUGUUGGAUAUGUAAUGGCAUCACACCAGCACACACCACGCAUUAACUCCUGUCGGGUGUGUUGGAUAUGUAAUGGCAUCACACCAGCACACACCACGCCUUAACUCCUGUCGGGUAUGUUGGAUAUGUAAUGGCAUCACACCAGCACACACCACGCCUUAACUCCUGUCUGGUGUGUUGGAUAUGUAGUGGCAUCACACCAGCACACACCACGCCUUAACUGCUGUCGGGUGUGAUGUAUUUGUAAUGGCAUCACACCGGCACACGUCACGCCUAAACUCCUGUCUGGUGUGUUGUAUAUAUAAUGGCAUCACACCAGCACAUCACGCCUUAACUCCUGUCGGGUAUGUUGUAUAUGUAAUGACAUCAAACCGACACACAUCACGUCACAACUCACAUCUGGUAUAUUGUAAAUGUAAUGACAUUAAACGACCACACAUCACGCCUUAACUCCCAUCGGGUAUGUUUUGUAUGUAAUGACAUCAAACCACCACACAUCACGCCUUAACUCCCAUCGGGUAUGUUGUGUAUGUAAUGACAUCAAACCACCACACAUCACUCACAACUCCCAGCGGGUAUGUUGUAUGAUCUUGUAUAUGUAAUGAAAUCAAACAACAUCUCGCCUCAACCCCCAUUAGAUAUGAUGUAUAAAUAUGUAUGCAAUUAUCAAUAUUCUAUGUUAAUUGUAGAAAUGUCGUUGUGAUAGUGGUUUUGCGAUUUCUUAUGUAUGAGGCACGAUCGGUACGUAAUUUAAAUAUUAUUGUGUUUUUGGAGGGGUGUAAUCACGUUUCUCCAACAUUUAAUAAUUAGACUUCAAACCAUUGAAGACUAAAGGGUCCUGAUAAGGAUUGGCAUCUUGAUAUUUCUGUAAUUCACUUGUUCUUGACUAAAAUAUUGGUAAAAAGAUGUAUCUUUUUUGAAGAUAUGUAUUAACACAUUAACAAAAUAUCUUAAUUUCUUCUACAAUAAUUGGUGUUUCAUCAUUUAAAAGUCGACGUAAUCUAGCAAAUUGAUGUAUAUUUUUAUUUUAAAAAAGUAAAGAUUCACUUAAAAAAAAAGUUAAUGUAAGAACUGAUAAAGGUGAAUUACAGGUAAAUAUUAAGAUGUCAGUCCUUUAGGACCCUCUCAUCUUUAAUGUUGUUUUAGUUUCAUUAUCAAAUGUUGGAGACACGUGACUAACCCAAACACCUUUGGAAGUAUAAUUUAAUGCAUGAUUUUGAUUUAUUCAUCAUUAUAAAAUAAAAGAAAUAGAAUUGUAUAUAUGCAAAAUCUAGCUUAAUAUUUGAUUUAAUAGCGAUUUAAUCGUUUCUAAAACACUUUUAUUGUGAUCUUUUGUGAGAAUAUUUAUCUUUGAACUAUUAACAUAGAUUUGCGUUUCUGUUUAUUAUGUAAUGUUUUUGUUUUUUAUAAAUAAAAGAAUAAGAUGAU